CACUUCCUACGGGACGCAGCAGUGAGGAAUAUUGGUCAAUGGGCGGAAGCCUGAACCAGCCAAGUCGCGUGAGGGAAUAAGGCCCUACGGGUCGUAAACCUCUUUUGCCGGGGAGCAAGGGCCGGGACGCGUCCCGGCCCGGAGAGUACCCGGCGAAAAAGCAUCGGCUAACUCCGUGCCAGCAGCCGCGGUAAUACGGAGGAUGCGAGCGUUAUCCGGAUUUAUUGGGUUUAAAGGGUGCGUAGGCGGGCUUUUAAGU
rnacentral:rRNA from 1 species